UUUUCAUCUGUAGAGGAAAUAUGACCGUUGCGGAAGACGUUUCGAUCUGCCAGGUUGUCGGAGCACUCAAGUUCCGUCGUUACAGAUCUCGAGAUGAUCCCAGCCGCUGGUUGAUUACACGUGUACAGUGCAGAGGUUUUUCUGAUGAACUAUAAAUAGUCCUGACACUUCAGGUCAAACCUUACGUUUCCUGAAUUUCCGGAGUUCGAUCUGAAACUAGCUCGAACCCUUUCUUUAGGUCAGUCACUUUUCCUUGUUAUUCUUCUUCAAACAUGGUAGUUUUCUUGUCCUCCCCGUCCAGUAGUGAUAGCAUAGGUAGUGCGGGUCGGACCAUAAGUAGUUCGCCCCCUAAACCAAGCGAUUAUGGGGAGGUCUUAGCUCGUAGGUUAGAAUCCGAGCUGGAAGAAAUAGAGAACUUUAGGUUCUCAAAUGAUGGAGAGGAUAGUGAUACCUCCACCUCGGGCCAGGGUUUGGAGUAUCCUUCAAAGAUGCCCGAACACUAUCUUGGACCCCUCCGUAGGGGGUUUAAAAUUUCAUGAUAUCCUUCUUAGGAUUCCGGAUGAAGGGGAAAGAGCUGACAAUCCUCCAGAGGGAUGAGUCACUCUUUAUUUAAAGAUGUUUGAGUACGGCCUCAGACUUCCCCUUCAUCCUUUUGCCCAGGAGUUCUUAAACCGAACUGGACUGGCUCCUGCUCAAGUGGCCCCCAAUGGGUGGGGUGUCAUUUUUGCUUUAGCCAUUCUUUUUUGGUUGCGAGCUCGGGAUGAGGACGAGGCCGAGCUACUAAGUGUAGAGCAACUUCUUGGAUGCUUCGAAGCCAAGAGGAUAGCUAAGAAGCCUGGUCGGUACUACAUGUACGCAAGGAAAGGCGCCAAGGGGCCGACCUCCAUCAAAGGAUGGGUAGGGAAGUGGUUCUUUGCCUCAGGUGAGUGGCUGGCAAAGGAAAUGACGAGUCUGGUCGUGCCUUCUUUGAUAUUCCCACUAGGUUUGGGAACUUAGUAUCAAUCAAGCCGAUUCCCGAGCUCUCUCAAGCCACCUUCGACACCCUCAAACACUACAAGGACCACUUCCCAAGGGGCCGGAAGAUCGGAACCUUGGUCACUGACAAGCUGCUCCUAGAGUCGGGGCUGCUGGACUACAACUCUUUAGUUCAUCCAAUUGAAGCUUCGAGGCCAAACUCCAAGCUCGCAAUGGUGUGCGGAUUCACUGGCAACGUGAAGCGCAAGUCCAAGGGCCGUGCUCACGCCCUCAAGACCGUGGUGGGUAUGGAACCGGCGACGCCUAUCGUGCCGCGGACUGAGGCCCAUGGUUACUCUGGGCCAUCUUCUGCAGUCCCCACCCCCGUGAUCGAGCUAGACUUAUCUGGGGAUCGAUCUGGAGAGAAGCACCCAAGGGAGGAGUCCGAGGCGCUUGACAUAUCUCCCCUGAACGAGGUGAGGGGAGAAUCUCCUUUGAGAAGAAGAAGAAUGAAGAAGAAGACUUCCUC